UAAUACGAAGGUGGCGAGCGUUGUUCGGAAUCACUGGGCUUAAAGAGCACGUAGGCGGGUCAUCAAGCGUCUUGUGAAAGCCCUCGGCUCAACCGAGGAAUUGCAUGGCGAACUGGUGGCCUUGAGGCAGGUAGGGGCGAGUGGAACUGUCGGUGGAGCGGUGGAAUGCGUAGAUAUCGACAGGAACGCCGGAGGCGAAGGCGACUCGCUGGGCCUGACCUGACGCUGAGGUGCGAAAGCCAGGGGAGCGAACGGGAUUAGAUACCCCGGUAGUCCUGGCCCUAAACGAUGUCCACUAGGUCGGAGGCUUUCUGACAGGGUUCCGGCUGAAAUGAAAACGAUAAGUGGACCGCCUGGGGAGUACGGUCGCAAGGCUA
rnacentral:rRNA from 1 species